GACGAACGCUGGCGGCGUGCUUAACACAUGCAAGUCGAACGGAAAGGCCCUGCUUUUGUGGGGUGCUCGAGUGGCGAACGGGUGAGUAACACGUGAGUAACCUGCCCUUGACUUUGGGAUAACUUCAGGAAACUGGGGCUAAUACCGGAUAGGAGCUCCUGCUGCAUGGUGGGGGUUGGAAAGUUUCGGCGGUUGGGGAUGGACUCGGGGCUUAUCAGCUUGUUGGUGGGGUAGUGGCCUACCAAGGCUUUGACGGGUAGCCGGCCUGGGAGGGUGACCGGCCACAUUGGGACUGAGAGACGGCCCAGACUGCUACGGGAGGCAGCAGUGGGGAAUAUUGCACAAUGGGCGGAAGCCUGAUGCAGCAACGCCGCGUGCGGGAUGACGGCCUUCGGGUUGUAAACCGCUUUCGCCUGUGACGAAGCGUGAGUGACGGUAAUGGGUAAAGAAGCACCGGCUAACUACGUG
rnacentral:rRNA from 1 species